rnacentral:rRNA from 1 species
GGACCCCGGGAGGGGAGUGAAAGAGAACCUGAAACCCUGUGUUUACAAGCUGUCGGAGCACUAUAAAUGUGCGACGGCGUACUUUUUGUAGAACGGUCCGGCGAGUUAUGGCAUGUGGUAAGGUUAAGUACUUCAGGUACGGAGCCGAAGCGAAAGCGAGUGUGAACAGCACGAUAAAAUCACCUGCCAUAGACCCGAAACCGGGUGAUCUAUCCAUGUCCAGGAUGAAGCUGCCGUAAGAGGUAGUGGAGGUCCGAACACACAUCCGUUGAAAAGGGUGGUGAUGAGGUGUGGAUAGGGGAGAAAUUCCAAUCGAACCCGGAGAUAGCUGGUUCUCCUCGAAAUAGCUUUAGGGCUAGCCCCGUAACAGUCUUGCGGAGGUAGAGCACUGAAUUUCCUAGGGGGCGUCAAAGCCUACCGAAGAAUAUCAAACUGCGAAUGCCGUACAGAUGAUUUACGGGAGUCAGACUGCACGAGAUAAGUUGGGUGGUCAAAAGGGAAAGAGCCCAGACCCGCAGCUAAGGUCCCAAAGUGCGUGUUAAGUGGAAAAGGAUGUGGGAUUUCGAAGACAACCAGGAUGUUGGCUCAGAAGCAGCCACACAUUAAAAGAGUGCGUAAUAGCUCACUGGUCGAGAGGUCCUGCGCCGAAAAUGUCCGGGGCUGAAACACGACACCGAAGCUCGGGAGUCAGAAAUGAUUGGUAGAGGAGCAUUGAAGACGGAACGAAGCCAUACCGGAAGGAGUGGUGGACUGUCUUGAAGAGAGAAUGCCGGAAUGAGUAGCGAGAGAGAAGUGGGAAUCUUCUCGGCCGAAUAUCCAAGGUUUCCAGGGUAAAGCUGAUCUGCCCUGGGUAAGUCGGGGCCUAAGGCGAGGUCGGAAGACGUAGCCGAUGGACAACAGGUUGAAAUUCCUGUACUGUGAUAUAUCAGAACUGUGGGGACACAGCGGGAAGGCAUGGGCCGGAAAAGGAAAAUCCGGUGCAAGCACCAGAGGAGUAUGGCAGGCAAAUCCGCCAUGCAAUCCGAAAGUGUGAUGCGGAGCGAACAAAAGUAGCGAAGCAUGCUUACCGGCUGUCGAGAAAAGCCGCUAUUGUGUUUAAUGUACCCGUACCGUAAACCGACACAGGUGGAUGAGGAGAGAAUCCUAAGGCCGGCGGGAGAAGCAUUGUUAAGGAACUCGGCAAAAUGACCCCGUAACUUCGGGAGAAGGGGUGCCUCUGUAACAGGAGGCCGCAGAGAAUUGGCCCAAGCAACUGUUUAGCAAAAACACAGGUCUAUGCAAAACCGAAAGGUGAGGUAUAUGGGCUGACGCCUGCCCGGUGCUGGAAGGUUAAGAGGAGAGGUUAGCGCAAGCGAAGCUUUGAAUUUAAGCCCCAGUAAACGGCGGCCGUAACUAUAACGGUCCUAAGGUAGCGAAAUUCCUUGUC